GAAGAUAGGCACAUGAGAAACCUAGCUGUAAUUUGUCUGAUGAUGUUUGAUGUGCAGCAACAUAGUCUCAACAAGUAGUUACUAGAAAUAGAUGUUGAAAAAACAAACAGUGAAAUGGAAAAGACAGCAACAGAAAGCACAGUAAGAAAGUUGAGAAGUUUCUGGAGUCAAGAGAACACAAGUCAUUUUCAUUACCACCGUGUAAAGGAUUCCAGAGAAAACUAACUUAUCAGUCCUUACAAAUGAAAAUAUUCCAAUCCUGUCAGUCGGAUGCUUCCUGUCAGUGACCACUUCCGCUCAUGAUGAGUACAGAGAUACAGAACAGCUGUUCAAGACUAAUACACAAACACCAGAACCUAGACCAGGAUUUCCUCAGAGUGUUGGAGGAGACAGAAUGGCAGCAUUUUCUGCGACAAUGUCUGGAACAGAUUGCAAGAGUGGCUGAGAUACUUACUGCAGAAACCUUUCAGAUACUGACUGAUACAUAUGGUUGUAUAUGGCAGUAGAGUGAAGCUGUUUGAAGUGACGUCUGCAGAGCAGAGUGUUCUACAAACUGAUCUGAUUGAAGUGCUUACUUUGUGAGAGCAUGCAGGCAGCUAAAGACAGAAGGUCAACAAAAUCAGGGUUUUUUUUUUUUAAAAGCAAGAAGGAAACGACAGAAAAUGUGAAAAUAGAAGAUCAAGGGAACAAAAGAACCUGAAUAGAAUAAACUUUUAAAGAUUUUAUGCUAAAACUAAAUUUAUAAGAACAUUAGUGAUGGAUUAACCUCCCAUAUCUUUUAGCCUGCUGGUGGCAAAUGAUUUUGCCUUUGCGACCAAGAUCAGCCUGAACGUUCUUCCCAAACCAAGAAGCUUCAAUAUUUUAUCUGCUGUUAUAGAUUAAGGGCGAGUUAGAAUAGAAAUAACUUACAGCAAAAGCAUGUUUUAACGCUAUUUAUACACUAGGACGUUAAUACAUCAUACAAAUUAUGCUCGACGUAUAACCACCCAUCGUGUAUAAAUAGUGUUAAAACACUAUUUUUGCUAUAAAUUAUUUCUUAAAUAAUGUUUUCCAUGAAAAGAAUAUUUUUUAUGCCCCUGGCAUCUACUGAUGUGGGAAGCAUAUAGUGAUUGUCCUGUCCAUCCGUUCGUCCGUACGAGGUUAACCAAAUGGGACCUUUUACGUCUAGCAUCAGUACCCCUUACUAGAAUGACUUGAUACUAAUGCAGAUGUUGAAAAUGAGACAUGAUAAAAUACAGAUUAAGCAAGUCACUGUUUUGUUACAAGCUUAUUUCAAGCCUGAAAGUUCUGUCCAAAAGCAUGCAGUGCUGUUACUUAAAGUUAUAUAUGUAGAUAGAUAAAACUUAAAAUCAAAGAAGUGGACAGAUUAUUUAGUGAAUAAAGUUUUUAUG